CCUACGGGGGGCUGCAGUGGGGAAUAUUGGACAAUGGGCGAAAGCCUGAUCCAGCCAUGCCGCGUGUGUGAAGAAGGCCUUCGGGUUGUAAAGCACUUUCAGUGGGGAAGAAAGCCUUGGGGCUAAUACCCUCGAGGAAGGACAUCACCCACAGAAGAAGCACCGGCUAACUCUGUGCCAGCAGCCGCGGUAAUACGGAGGGUGCGAGCGUUAAUCGGAAUUACUGGGCGUAAAGCGCGCGUAGGCGGUCUGAUAAGCCGGUUGUGAAAGCCCCGGGCUCAACCUGGGAACGGCAUCCGGAACUGUCAGGCUAGAGUGCAGGAGAGGAAGGUAGAAUUCCCGGUGUAGCGGGGAAAUGCGUAGAGAUCGGGAGGAAUACCAGUGGCGAAGGCGGCCUUCUGGACUGACACUGGCGCUGAGGUGCGAAAGCGUGGGUAGCAAACAGGAUUAGAUACCCCAGUAGUC
rnacentral:rRNA from 1 species